rnacentral:misc_RNA from 1 species
UCUGAAAACAAAGACAAAGUGUUGGAAAUGAUCAAAUCCAUCAAAGAAUGUGGUAACUCAUUGUUUAAAGAGCAGAAAUUUCAACCAGCAAAGAAAAAGUACAAAAAGGCAUUAAGAUAUUUGAAUGAAGUUGACAACAGUAUGGAUUUAAGUGAUGAAGCAAACAAGGAGAUUGAAUCAACAUUCCUUAUUCCUGUUUGUCUUAAUUUAGCUGCUUGUCAUCUCAAACUGGAAGAAUAUGCUCAAGCUAUUGAACAGUGUAAGGAGGUAUUAGCGGCAAACAACAGGAAUGUCAAAGCACUCUUUAGAAAAGGACAGGCAGAGUGUGGCCUCAAAAACUUUGACCAAGCUUUGGAAAGUCUUAGUGAAGCUUCAAAACUAGAGCCAUCAGACAAAGGUAUUCAGCGAGAGCUAGCCAAAGUAAAGAAAGUCCUCGAGGAAUAUAAAACUAAGGAGAAGAAAAUGUAUGCAAAAAUGUUUGCAUGAUAAAAUUCCAAUUGAUAUACACAUAUAAAUUAAUUUCAGCAUAUGUGUAGAUGUCAGUAACUAGCAUUGGACAUUUCUUGUUCAAAUGUAUUAGAAGUACUUUUAUGUAGAGGUCAUCAUUUUUAUGAUGUCAUAAUAGUACUGUGGAAACAGUCCACUCAAAAUAGAAUACAAAGAGAGAGUAAAGAUACCAGUGUGAAUGUUUCAGUAGAUGUAUUUGUAGUUACCAGGUUUACAGUUUGUUGUUAUAUGUGGGUAGGUAGUCUUACAUGCACCCACCGUUGAACUGUACUGUUGGACAACAUGUAGAGGCACUUGCUGAUUCGUUACUGCCGUCUGUUUCAUCUCAUUUUUGUUUCAUUAGCUUUAUCUGUCAUUGUUCAUUUAAAAAAUAAAUAUGUUUCUCAAUCCUUGUUGUGAUAUAUUCCUUUUAUGAUAUGAAUCAAAGUUUGCUAUUACUUGACAAUUGUAACAAAUUUUCUUCAUUAUUUCAAAUGUUUGUUUUAAUCUUCUAAAAUGUCUUUGUAAUAAAAAUUU